GGGAACCCGAAGUGUUCAUUCUGUGGGGAGCGUGAAACUUCCCAACAUCUCUUUUUUACCUGUCCUGUAGCUAAGGUGACCUGGAGAGUUACUGCUUGCAUGCUCGACACUGAUUUGUGUCCGAACAGCUUGUGGCAGGCUUAUUCUUGGUGUUAUGUAUACUUCCCGAAUGGGGAGAUCUUUUACACGGUUGGCAUAUCUGCGCUUUGCUGGGCUAUCUGGACCUGUCGCAAUAGUGCUACGUUCGAAUCUAAGCAAUUGAAAACGCCUUUUGAAUGUUGUUUCUCUAUGUGCGUUUUUCUCUGUUAUUGGGCAGGUUUGUUGAAGCAGGAGGAUGCGGUGGAUCUGCGAGCAGGAGUAAACAUGUUGAAGAACAGUGCAUCGAGGAUGAUGCGCAUCUACACUACGACCAAAGACUGA
rnacentral:rRNA from 1 species